GAUGAACGCUGGCGGCGUGCCUAAUACAUGCAAGUCGAGCGAACAGACGAGGAGCUUGCUCCUCUGACGUUAGCGGCGGACGGGUGAGUAACACGUGGAUAACCUACCUAUAAGACUGGGAUAACUUCGGGAAACCGGAGCUAAUACCGGAUAAUAUAUUGAACCGCAUGGUUCAAUAGUGAAAGACGGUUUUGCUGUCACUUAUAGAUGGAUCCGCGCCGCAUUAGCUAGUUGGUAAGGUAACGGCUUACCAAGGCAACGAUGCGUAGCCGACCUGAGAGGGUGGCGGGCCAAUCGGAGAGGGAAACACGGUCAAGCCUCCAGGGGGGGGAAGCAGUGGGAAAUCUUCCGAAAGGGGAAAAGGCCUACGGGAGCAACGCCGGGGGAGUGAUGAAGGUCUUCGUACCGAAAAAUUUUGUUAUUGGGGAAAAAAAAAUGUGAAAGUAAAUAUGCACGUCUUGAGGGUCCCUAAUAAGAGGGCCAGGGCAAACCCGGUC
rnacentral:rRNA from 1 species